rnacentral:rRNA from 1 species
GACCGUAAGGACAUGUGGACAGUAUGGGAGGGAGAAUGUUGGCAUGAGUAGCGAGAUGUGGGUGGGAAUCCCACAGGCCGUAAACCCAAGGUUUCCAGGGGAAGGUUCGUCCACCCUGGGUUAGUCGGGACCUAAGCUGAGGCCGAAAGGCGUAGGUGAUGGACAACAGGUUGAUAUUCCUGUACUACCGAUAACCGUUUGAGAGAAGGGAUGACACAGUAGGAUAAGCUAAGCACACUGUUGGUUAUGUGUGCCCAAGCAUUGAGGCAGUCAAAGUAGGCAAAUCCGCUUUGAUAAUGCUGGGAUGUGAUGGGGAGCGAAAUUUAGUAGCGAAGUAGCUGAUUUCACACUGUCAAGAAAAGUCUCUAUCGAGGUUAAAGGUACCCGUACCGCAAACCGACACAGGUG